rnacentral:sRNA from 1 species
GAAUAUACCAAUGAGAUGGAGACUACGCUCAGGGGUAUAUUUACAUUUCUACAGCUACCUCAAGUCACUCAACCGGAAAUGAAAAACAUUCUCAGACAAAAGCGUCUUCAUGUUACAGC